UUGGAGAAAAAAAAAGUGAGCCUUAUUCUUUUUGGGUAAUAUUGUAGUAUUAAUAAUAUUUAUUAUGUUUUGAAUUGGAGGUUGCUUUUUUCUUUUAAAAAAAAAAACUUAUUUUUUGAACUGAAUUUGUUGAUUUUUUUAAUUUUUUUUUAGUUGUUCAUUUGUUCUGUUGGAUUUUUUUUGAAAAGUUGCUAAUGAAUUCUUAAUUUUUUUUUCAUUAUUAUUGCGUUAAUACUGAUUUUUUUUUUGGUUCAAAUUUGUUGAUUUUUUUGUCUUUUUUUUAUAUAUGUAUUUGCAGUCUUCUCAAGUUUUCCCUCGCUGCAGCAAUUCCAAUUGUUGACCUGUGUUACAUUCAUUUGCUGCGCGAGAUCGCUGGAA
rnacentral:lncRNA from 1 species